rnacentral:snoRNA from 1 species
UUGCAGUGAUGUCUUGAAUUUCUUCACCUGAACUUUGUGUAGAACUCAUUUUUUUAAAACUGAGCAAA